rnacentral:lncRNA from 1 species
CUGAUAGCAUUUCAUUAAAGUAGAAAAAGAUUACACAGUGAUAAUAAAAUUCUUUACAAAAAGUUUUAAAGUUAAAAAGGUCGAAGAAGAUCUUGUUCAGGCGUCGUCCUCAUUUUCAUCUUUCGAAGAGUCAAGAAGAGUUGGAUUCACCGAAGCUGCUGCGAGCUUUGCCUUGCCUUUGUUUUGGGCAACUUCAUACCCUUCGGCAUACAUCUUGAUUAUCUCAUUGUUUAGCUCAGGUGAUUUUUGAUACUCAGCUUGGAUCUCUUUGCGGAACUCUUCAGUGAGUAGAUGACCUUGAUCUUUGAGUUCCCGAAGUUUAGUCUCCAACUUGCGACGGUGUGCAAGGUGUCGUUCUUUGGUAACUUUGGCGUUGUUAACCGCCUUCGCCAAGCUCUGGUUGGACUGUGCAAGAU